rnacentral:rRNA from 1 species
UACAGAGGUCUCGAGCGUUAGGCGGAAUCCCUGGGCUUAAAGCGUGUGUAGGCGGAUCGUUAAGUGCCUUGUGAAAUCCCACGGCUUAACCGUGGAACUGCUUGGCAUACUGGCGGUCUUGAGCAACCUAGGGGCGAGCGGAACAAAUGGUGGAGCGGUGAAAUGCGUAGAUAUCAUUUGGAACGCCAAUGGUGAAAACAGCUCGCUGGGGGUUUGCUGACGCUGAGACACGAAAGCCAGGGGAGCAAACGGG